AAGGAUUUAAGUUAAGUGCAAACUUUUAGCCUUCAAAGCUAAGAAUAGAUUAGUGUCUAAGCCUUA
rnacentral:tRNA from 1 species